rnacentral:rRNA from 1 species
GACGAACCGAGCGAACGUUGUUCGGAAUCACUGGGCUUAAAGGGCGCGUAGGCGGGCCAUCAAGUCAGGGGUGAAAGCCCCCAGCUUAACUGGGGAAGUGCCUUUGAUACUGAUGGUCUCGAGGGAGAUAGGGGCGUGCGGAACUUCCGGUGGAGCGGUGAAAUGCGUAGAUAUCGGAAGGAACACCGAUGGCGAAAGCAGCGCGCUGGAUCUCUUCUGACGCUGAGGCGCGAAAGCCAGGGGAGCAAACGGG